UUUCUCAUCUCACCAUAUCCACAGGUACAGAGUCAUCAUAUACAAUAAAUCUGUGGGGUAGCAUUUAAAAAACAUUUAAAAAUAGAUGCAUUUGUUUAAACCAAAGCAUUUAUUUACUUAGGCUACAGGUGAAGCAGCUCUUUACACCGUCUAACGUCUCAUAAUCGAUCCUCAUUUAUGUCCAAGAGACUCAAUAAUAAUAUUUUACAUUCAAUCCUUUAAUCUUUCAUGUUUAAAAGCGUUUUUAUGCUGCUGCUGCGCAUUCAUGUAGGCUAUGUAAGCAAACCCGCGUUGUCGUCCUGUUUAUAGGCGCAUAUUACUAACGCGCUCUUUAAAUAACAAAAAACAUAUUGUGCCAUUGACUUUAGACUUUAGAGCAGGUUUUUGUUGGUCAAUGGCGUAGUCUAUUUUAGUUGCCUCAAAAUAGCCACUCGCCAACAAUGCGCCUGAACACACCUCAUUUUCAGACCAGAACGCCCAUGGGCGCAACAUUAGGCGCAAAUGCAUUUGCUAUUUAAACAACGUGGCGUUAAACGUGAAAAUGAUAAUUGCGCCGGGUUGAAACUAGCCAAAGACACUUGUGUCGUGCAUUGGGCUGCAUUGCGCCGGGUGUAUGAUAGAGCCCUAUGUAUGUUUUGAUCAUCACUCUAAAUCUGAUCUCUAACAAAAGUCCUUUAUUAAAAUGCAAUUAUCUCAGCUUUUUGCUGAAAAUUUUGUAUUUUUGAAGAAACCUACCCAUAUUUAAACUUUUGUGAAAAACAUAAAAAAUCCUGGCUGGCAACUUUUAAAAAAACGCUGUCAGGGGAAGAGUUAAAUGGUACUGUCCUAAUGGCAUCUAGGGACCAUUUUUUCUAACAGUGCAGGCAGCAAAUAAUUCAAUGUGCCUUGUUGCCUUCCUACUGUACCUCUAUAUAGCAUUCCCAAAAGCUGCAAAGACACCAUUUAGGGUGCACACACAGAACCCAUCAGCACCAUGUUUUAUCCACAUACUGUAACAGCACAAGUAUGAGAUGCAUGCAAAAGUGCUGUCUACACUCAUAGAUACUUCAUGCUCUGAGAUUAAGUUAUUUUCUCCUCGCCAAUUCAAGAAUUAAUAUUAUUAUUAUUAAUAUAGAAUAACCUGCAGACAUACUUUAUAAUCACAUCAGAAGUUAACUUUAGAUGCACUAAAAAUCUUUCAUUAUCUGCUGUUCACCAAAAGUGUUCCUGUAUAGGUCAGUGGUAGAGCUUUGCGUUACCAGCGCAAAAGGUCAUGGGUUCGAAAACAUGGAUAAAAAUAUGCGCCUGCCAAAUGCAUAAAUGUAAAAAAAAUGACCAUUGAGUUACAUGAGGGUGAACAGUUUGGUUGCCUUAUUGCUUUUUUAAUGAUUUAAGCACAGAAUUAAGCUGUAAGCAUCUUUGUUCCAUUACCAUAAACAACGAAAUGGGCCGAUUUUAUUCAAUGAUUAAUCGUUGUAUCACUUUAACUGUGGAAAUUGCAGCAGUACGGCUCCAGCAGCACUUCAUUAUUCCUAAUGACUUUAAAAUCAUAUCCAUUUACUGUGUAUCCAGGGCUCUACAUCAAGGAUCCAUUAUGUAUUUAAUGUCGGGAGAUUUUUAUAAUCAAUACUGACUUGGACAUGAAGUAGUCGUUUAGAGAACCGACUGUAUGUUUUCCCUGUUUAUUUAUUCUGUCUUUGCAGCUGCGGUCAACCGUGUUUGAUCUUUCACAUACAAUUGGUUGUGAUUUCGUGCUUUAAACUGUUAAAAAAUAGUCUGAAGCUUUUACAGGAGUAAAAUUAAUGACCUCACGUUCCUGAGGUGACGACAGUCAGCUGCAGAGCCGUCUCCGGGUGAGGACCUUUCUCGGUCGCCGUGCUAUCGCCAUGGUAACAAGCUUAGGGGAAUGAGAAAGAGAAUAAUCUAAUCUCCCCAUUUUAGCUGCUGCGAUAAAGACAGUCACAGUGCUGUCUGCAGUGGGAGGUGAAGACUGUAAGGAAAGUGGCUGUGUUUAGAGGUUGUAUGAUUAACAUUCAGUCUGUGUAUAAAUACAGUACGUGCACUGUUUAUCAGUGUGUGUCACUGCUGCUGGAAAAGGCUUUAAACACAACAGGGAUAAUUCUGUUGUUCAUAGGUCCAUUUGAUUAAAGAAAUCCUGUUACAUCUCUAUCAUUCUAUUAUACCUGUUGGUAACCAAGAUGGUAGGGCCACAAAACUAACCAUACAGUACUUUUGACAUCCUGCACUACACAGACACAAAUGUUUGUCCGAUAAAAUGCUUCCUGGAAUGAGAAUGUUUCUCUCCCUAAUAUUCACAAUAGCUUUUCAGCGAGAUUAAAUGAUGGAAACAUCUAAAGAAGUUUCCAAUAGUAAAGUAUACUGUAUUAGGGGGCAGCAAUGCAUUUAUGCCUGCGGCUGGCAAAUGUUUUUAAUUGUUUCGAAUGGAAGCUCCUUGUUUUAUAAAACUUUGCUUAACCCACUAUUCCUACACUACAACGAGUACUUGAAAAGAUGAAGAUGUUUUUAAAAAAUUAUUUAGUAUCAUCUUCAUUUACUUAACAUUAUUAACAUGUUUGGAGGCAUAAAUGGCAUAAAAUGUUUGGAAAUAAUGACAGCAGAGAAAAUAUUUUCUUGCACAUUUGCAUUUUACAUUGUACAAUAAUAAUGAUCAAUAGCUUAUUUUUUAUAAGAAUAUUUUUUCAAUAAUAAUAUUUCAACAAAUAUUACUAAAAUCAUCUCAGUCAUAGUUACUGCCAAUCGUGUUUGUAGUGUCCUAGAGUUAGUGAACUAAACAUUAAUUUGAUAUCUGAAAAUACAGAACAGUAUAAUGCUGCGUUCACACCAGCCGCGGUAGAGGCGUCAAGCAAAAGUGAGUUCAAUGUUAAAUUAAUGUGAAGACCAGUGUUGUUUUUGGCAGCCCUUUUAGUUUUCGUUUUAGUCUUAGUCUUUUGGACGAAAAUGCUUUUAGUUUUAGUCACAUUUUAGUCACUUGUAAAAUGUAUAGUUUUAGUCAAGUUUUAGUCGACGAAAACGCAAAAAGGUUUUAGUCAAGUUUAAGUCAAUUUUAGUAAAAAAAGUAUUUUUUAACCAAUGAAUUUAGGUUAAAAAGUGUGGUGUAUUUAAUACAAUUAAAAUGUGCAUUAAGGUUGUCCCUGAGGGCUUGCCGUUGUUUUAGUCGGUGUGCCUUCUGCGCAUGUCAUAACAAAAAGUUAUGAAGAAAAAAGUUUAGCCUAAUAUACCAUCAUGUUGAGUUUGUGUGUUACGCUGAGACCUCGCUUAUAAAGUUGAGAAACGCGUGCCUUGCCUUAUUUAAAUACACCACAAAAAGUAUUGGAAAUGGGCUUAGGUUUGACAAGCAGAUACAUGUAAAACCUUAAGCUUACCAUGAAAUGUGUCACAAGCCGAUUGUCGAGUAAAAUUGAAUGUAUAUGAUAUGUUAAA